rnacentral:misc_RNA from 1 species
GUAGGUGAACCUGCGGAAGGAUCAUUACUAGAGCAAAGGAUAGGCAGCACCCCACAGAAGCUUGCUUCGUGGCGGGCUACCCUACUCCGGUAGGGUUUAGAGCCGUCGAACCUCUCGGAGAAGUUCGGUCCUGAACUCCACCCUUGAAUAAAUUACCUUUGUUGCUUUGGCAGGCCGCCUCGUGCCAGCGGCUUCGGCUGUUGAG